rnacentral:rRNA from 1 species
UGAGGAAAGCUUGCUUUCCUUGAUGACGACUGGCGCACGGGUGAGUAACGCGUAUCCAACCUUCCCAUAACUACGGGAUAACCCGUUGAAAGACGGCCUAAUACCGUAUGACAUCGUCUGCUGACAUCAAAUAACGAUUAAAGGUUUAGCGGUUAUGGAUGGGGAUGCGUCUGAUUAGCUUGUUGGCGGGGUAACGGCCCACCAAGGCUACGAUCAGUAGGGGUUCUGAGAGGAAGGUCCCCCACAUUGGAACUGAGACACGGUCCAAACUCCUACGGGAGGCAGCAGUGAGGAAUAUUGGUCAAUGGGCGAGAGCCUGAACCAGCCAAGUAGCGUGCAGGAUGACGGCCCUAUGGGUUGUAAACUGCUUUUAUGUGGGGAUAAAGUGCGUGACGUGUCAUGCAUUGCAGGUACCACAUGAAUAAGGACCGGCUAAUUCCGUGCCAGCAGCCGCGGUAAUACGGGAGGUCCGGGCGUUAUCCGGAUUUAUUGGGUUUAAAGGGAGCGUAGGCUGUCUAUUAAGCGUGUUGUGAAAUUUACCGGCUCAACCGGUGGCUUGCAGCGCGAACUGGUCGACUUGAGUAUGCAGGAAGUAGGCGGAAUUCAUGGUGUAGCGGUGAAAUGCUUAGAUAUCAUGACGAACUCCGAUUGCGCAGGCAGCUUACUGUAGCAUAACUGACGCUGAUGCUCGAAAGUGCGGGUAUCAAACAGGAUUAGAUACCCUGGUAGUCCGCACGGUAAACGAUGGAUGCUCGCUAUUCGUCCUAUUUGGAUGAGUGGCCAAGUGAAAACAUUAAGCAUCCCACCUGGGGAGUACGCCGGCAANGG